rnacentral:lncRNA from 1 species
UUGGAUCUUGUUGGUUGAUUGUUGAUUGAGAUAGGAUAACAGGUGGAUAGUCUAAGAAAUAGACGAGACGAUGUCGGAUUUUCGAUAGGAUGCAUAUGAUAAUUGAUUUGUAACAUGUUAUGUGGAAUAUGACUUGACUAUAUGUUAGAGUCAAAGCAUGCUUAUGUGUUACGUGGUAUCUGAUAAGUUUAAAGGGGUAUAUAAGUGGGUAUCG